UAGGGAAUCUUCCACAAUGGGCGCAAGCCUGAUGGAGCAACACCGCGUGAGUGAAGAAGGGUUUCGGCUCGUAAAGCUCUGUUGUUAAAGAAGAACACGUAUGAGAGUAACUGUUCAUACGUUGACGGUAUUUAACCAGAAAGUCACGGCUAACUACGUGCCGA
rnacentral:rRNA from 1 species